rnacentral:lncRNA from 10 species
CUGGGCACCCCGCAGACGCUAAAUGAACGCCGGUCUCUCCUCCCGCCUCAGACGCUAAAUGAAUGCCGGUCUCCCCACCUCAUUCACUCAGAGUCUCCCCCGCCUCAGACGCUAAAUGAAUGAACGGGGGUCUCCCCCCCACCCCCCCAUCCCCCCACCCCCGCCCUUUCUCCUGCUGAACCCGCCGGGGACAGUGUGGGGCGGGACCGCUGACGGCUGCUCGGAGGAGUGACGGGGACCCCUGAGCCCUGGACUCUGAGUCUCAAUGCCACAGCCGCACUGAGCUGGGCCUCCUCACGAAGCAAAUCUGUUUCCGGGAACAAAAGCGCAUUCUUUGCAAGUCUGAGAAGCUUUCACACGAACAGGUUUUAGGGAGAGAACGGAUUAUGCUCACGCUUUGCAACAAAUGUCUGAGGAGAGACAGAAAAGGAGGCCGGCACGGGUGCUCGCGAGCCACAUUCCGCCCCCAGGCUCUCCUCUUAAGCAGCCAACACGUCCGAUUCCUUUUCUUACUACCUGGUACUCCAUGUCCUCACUUAGGAAACAGGAGCAGCAAAAUCGGAUUCUCCGCCUGAUGGACUGUUCUGAGGAUCAGACACAUUUAUGGAAAAGUUUAAUUUGCCUCAGAAACUGUAGUAUCGCUGCACUGCAGAGGUUUGAACCUCCCUCAAGUGACCAGGCACGUCUGAAAUACGAAGGCGGACACCUGGGCUGACCACGGGAAGCUGGUUUCCAUGGCCGUCGUGACGGGAACCUACAAUCCCCCGCCAGGCCGGGCUGGUCGCCACUCUGUAUGGACGCUGGAAUCAUCUGGUCGCCACUCUGUAUUGACGCUGGUAACCAGGCAUCGUCUGGGGACAGGAUGGGUUUCACGUCCAAACUGAGCACUGAAAAUACUUUGAAAAGUCUCUUUAGCACCUCAAGCAGAUAUUAUGCAGGGUCCUCUAUGUUUUUGUCAUCUAAUAACAUCUUUAAGUCUGUCAAAUAAUUUUGCAUUUUCCACCUGCUUCCCAUUGGCAGGGGUAGUCAGUUUUGUCACCCAUCACCCUCCCCCAAUUUAUGUUAAAAAAUAUUCUUUUAGUCAUGAAAUGACCCCUCAAGGAGUUUCUACCCUGUUUGUGGGAUUGUAAAUUAGCUCAGCCACUAUGGAAAGCAGCUUGAAGAUUUCUCAAAGAACUUAAAUCAGCAAUCCCAUGACUGGGUAUAUACCCAAAGGAAAAUAAAUCAUUCUACCAAAAAGACACUGACACAUGUAUGUUCACUGCAGCAUGGUUCACAAGGUUCGCAAUAGCAAAAACAUGGAAGCAACCCAGGUGCCCAUCAAAGGUGGAU